rfam:Myotis davidii contig126222, whole genome shotgun sequence.
GGUGGUUCUUGGGUGAUGCACCUCAAAAUCGGGCUCCCUACUCUCUGGUUCUGGGUGAGUCACUUGAGAACUGCU